GACAAGACUUUCGCUUUCAGUUGCCAGUCUAAGUCUGUGUGUUUUGUGUGUGUGUGUGUGUGUGUUGCCAAUUUAUAUGGCCAACAACUUGUCGUUAGAAGCAAACACAAGUUAAGAGAUAGAGCUAAUGUGUUAAUACUUGCUAUAUAUAUAUAUAUAUGUCAAGUUAUUAUCUUAUCCGUUUUCCAGCUGUUUAUAAGAUCAACUUUCAGUUGUUCCCCGGCAACUGCAACUUGAAACUGGAAGCACUUUUCUCUCUCUCUCACUCGGUCACUCGCUCUCUCUUUUGGCUUAUCAGCUAACUAGCUUUUGGCCAACUCUCAGUCUCAGUCAAUCUUUUCCUCUCUCUUUCUGUCUGUCUGUUUGCGUCUCUUUCUCAAGCUGUCUGCAGUUCGUUUGCAAAAAAUAAAUCGCCUUCACCAUUCGCAUAUCAAAGUUAACCGUUAACGGUUGCCAAUUUCGCGUCGCCUUUUUUUUAGAGUUACCUAUAUUAUCCGGCUAUAAAUUAAAGCCUUUAAUUAACUGUUGCAUAGCAAAUUAACAUAGCGCUAAUCUGAGAAAACUCUAUCAAAAAAAAAACGUGAAGCGCGUGUGAGAACGAGAUUUGAAAGUGAUUUCAAAGCAAAAUACUAAACGACGAAUAGACCACCAAGAAAUAUUAAAAAAAAAAAAAAAAACCAUUCAAGUAUUUUCAAAAUCUACACAAAAAGCAAUACAAAUUUAAGCGCGUCUGUCUGUGUAUGUGUGUGCUUAUGUGUGUGUGUGAUCUAUAUAUAUAAACUAUAUACUUAUAAGAAAAGCUGCAUUGUGAUUUCAUUUUUACCUGCAAAAGAAAAAAAUCAAACGGAAUCAACGCACCUUUUUUUAUACUCAACCAAAAACUUUGUGACCAAGCUAAGGCCAAAUUUUAUACACAAAAA